rnacentral:rRNA from 2 species
CGGCAGUGCGGCUGCUAUACAUGCAGUCGAACGAGUUCUCGUUGAUGAUCGGUGCUUGCACCGAGAUUCAACAUGGAACGAGUGGCGGACGGGUGAGUAACACGUGGGUAACCUGCCCUUAAGUGGGGGAUAACAUUUGGAAACAGAUGCUAAUACCGCAUAGAUCCAAGAACCGCAUGGUUCUUGGCUGAAAGAUGGCGUAAGCUAUCGCUUUUGGAUGGACCCGCGGCGUAUUAGCUAGUUGGUGAGGUAAUGGCUCACCAAGGCGAUGAUACGUAGCCGAACUGAGAGGUUGAUCGGCCACAUUGGGACUGAGACACGGCCCAAACUCCUACGGGAGGCAGCAGUAGGGAAUCUUCCACAAUGGACGCAAGUCUGAUGGAGCAACGCCGCGUGAGUGAAGAAGGCUUUCGGGUCGUAAAACUCUGUUGUUGGAGAAGAAUGGUCGGCAGAGUAACUGUUGUCGGCGUGACGGUAUCCAACCAGAAAGCCACGGCUAACUACGUGCCAGCAGCCGCGGUAAUACGUAGGUGGCAAGCGUUAUCCGGGAUUUAUUGGGCGUAAAGCGAGCGCAGGCGGUUUUUUAAGUCUGAUGUGAAAGCCCUCGGCUUAACCGAGGAAGCGCAUCGGAAACUGGGAAACUUGAGUGCAGAAGAGGACAGUGGAACUCCAUGUGUAGCGGUGAAAUGCGUAGAUAUAUGGAAGAACACCAGUGGCGAAGGCGGCUGUCUGGUCUGUAACUGACGCUGAGGCUCGAAAGCAUGGGUAGCGAACAGGAUUAGAUACCCUGGUAGUCCAUGCCGUAAACGAUGAAUGCUAGGUGUUGGAGGGUUUCCGCCCUUCAGUGCCGCAGCUAACGCAUUAAGCAUUCCGCCUGGGGGAGUACGACCGCACGGUUGAAACUCAAAGGAAUUGACGGGGGCCCGCACAAGCGGUGGAGCAUGUGGUUUAAUUCGAAGCAACGCGAAGAACCUUACCAGGUCUUGACAUCUUUUGAUCACCUGAGAGAUCAGGUUUCCCCUUCGGGGGCAAAAUGACAGGUGGUGCAUGGUUGUCGUCAGCUCGUGUCGUGAGAUGUUGGGUUAAGUCCCGCAACGAGCGCAACCCUUAUGACUAGUUGCCAGCAUUUAGUUGGGCACUCUAGUAAGACUGCCGGUGACAAACCGGAGGAAGGUGGGGAUGACGUCAAAUCAUCAUGCCCCUUAUGACCUGGGCUACACACGUGCUACAAUGGAUGGUACAACGAGUUGCGAGACCGCGAGGUCAAGCUAAUCUCUUAAAGCCAUUCUCAGUUCGGACUGUAGGCUGCAACUCGCCUACACGAAGUCGGAAUCGCUAGUAAUCGCGGAUCAGCACGCCGCGGUGAAUACGUUCCCGGGCCUUGUACACACCGCCCGUCACACCAUGAGAGUUUGUAACACCCGAAGCCGGUGGCGUAACCCUUUUAGGGAGCGAGCCGUCUAAGGUGGGACAAAUGAUUAGGGUGAAGUCGUAACAAGUAGCCGAGAUCA